rnacentral:rRNA from 1 species
CCCUUUUGUGUAUCUCGACCCUGUUGCCUCGGGGGCGACCCGGCCUUCGGGCGUCGGGGCCCCCGGCGGACCACUCAACUCUGCAUCUUUGCGUCUGAGUCUUAUAUGAAUUAAAUCAAAACUUUCAACAACGGAUCUCUUGGUUCUGGCAUCGAUGAAGAACGCAGCGAAAUGCGAUAAGUAAUGUGAAUUGCAGAAUUCAGUGAAUCAUCGAAUCUUUGAACGCACAUUGCGCCCCUUGGUAUUCCGGGGGGCAUGCCUGUUCGAGCGUCAUUACACCACUCAAGCCUGGCUUGGUAUUGGGCGUCGCGGCCGCCGCGCGCCUCAAAGUCUCCGGCUGGGUCUCUUACCUCUAAGCGUUGUGACACAAUCUAUCCGCUUCGCGAGUGUGGCGGCCCGCGCCGUUAAACGAUUUUAUCUGAUG